UAUGUAUGUUCCAGUUUUUUGUUUUUUGUUUUUGUCUUGCAGGACCCUGAAUUUCUCCUGUUGCUUCUUUUCCCCUUCACCAUCCAGUUGCCAAAAGGCACCUUGCCUAUUCUUUUUGCUCUCUCCACUCCCUGAAGCUAUCCUGUAAUAAGUGUUGUGAUACUAAGAUACUUUAUAUUUUUGCACCUAGGAUAGAAUUUCUAUCUCUGCUGGUGAUUUUAGACCAAUUUUAGGCCUGCCACUAGAUCCGUUUUUCUUUAUUCUGUAUGUUCUUCUUUGGCCUGCCCUUGCUUGCUACAAAGGCUUAUGGUAGAAAUGUGAAAGAUCACUCACUUGGAUUUGGUGCUUUUAAUUUUUUUACUUAUAAGUAUUUGACAUUUGGCUAUAUUUUUCUUCUUGUUAGGCUGAGGGUGUAUUUUGUAUAGAUUUAUUUAUUCUUCUUGUUCUGUAUCGUUUAUGACGGACAUAGGUAGCUGCCAUUUUAUUUUAUUACCGCGAAGUCCUCACCUAUUCACUCUUAAAUCUACCUCAUUGAAGACUUCAAUAACUAUUUGUUGUUGGAAGCCAUAAUGAAACUGUUGAUCAAAUUACCCAAUCCAAAUCAAAUUAACCAAAAAGACUUUCUUCAGUCUUCAUAUUAAUUACCUUCCCUGCAGAACAGAACAUGGUUGCCCAUUAUGUGAAAUUCCUUUUACUUCUUUGGUGGUCCUGUCUGUUUUCUUAUGCCUAAUUGUUGCUUACGGUAUACUUGCUGUUUGUUUGUUUGUUUGUUUGUUUCUUUUAUACACUCAUUAAGUGAGUUCUCCAUCUAAAUAUCCCAUAAGGCACUUCAGAAUCAACAUAUCCAAAAGGAAACAUAUUUUACUCAUCUCCAAAUCUUUUGUUUCUCCAGCAAUUCAAGUUUUGGUGAAUGAAGCUAUGAACAAUCCAGUAAUCCAAACCAGAAACUUGAGAGUCAUCUUUUUUACACCUCCCACUUUGCAUCUCUCACAUUGAAUAAGCAAUCAUGCCCUGAGCCAUAUACUUUCUUAGCAUCUCUGCCAUCCUCCCUAUCCUCUUUGGUAUGGCCUCUCUUCAGACUGCCUCCUUAGCUCUCUUCUGGAUCACUAUAACAGCCUAACAAUUGUAUCACCUUCAGUUUUGCUCUUUCUUCCAUAUGACUAUCAGAAUUAUUUCUCUGGAAGAUCAUGUCAAUCACUCCUUCUCAGUGGUUCUUCAUUGCCUAUAGGAAGAAAUCCAAACUCCGUAGCAUGAGAGAAAUGUUUUUCAUAAUGACUUUAUCCUGCCUUUCUAUUGUUUCUUUCAUAUCAUGCCCAGCUCAGCCCCCCAUUCAAUGAAAAUCAUACUAAACUACUUUAAUUCCACUAACAUGUUGUGCUAGUUAAGCCUCUUUACCUUUGUUCAUGCUGUUUUUACUCAGACCACUCCAUUCCACAACAUACACUUGGGGGAUACCUACUAAUUUUGAAGACCCCCUUCAGCCCUGAUGUUAACCUUCUUUGUGGAAUCAUUAUUGACAUGAUGGAUAGAAUUGGUCAGAUGCUUCCUUGUUCAUCAGUUGUACUAGGCACAGCAUUCUAAUGUAGCACCUAUUACACAUUUUAAAAUUUGUUUACAUGUCUCCCCUCAUGUAAGUUUGUAGGACUGGUACCUGAAAUAUACUAGGCUUACCUUACUGACAUUUUGAAAUAUAAGAUAGCUUUCCAAGGCUUGCUUUUGCCUCCUGAUUCAGGACUCUACCAUUGGCAUCAUCAGGAAGAAUUUCUAAUAGUAUUAUUGAUCAGAGUCUUCUGGAAGUUUCUGCAGGUUACACAUCAACUUACUUUUCCCUGACAAAAUAAUUCUGCAUCUAGAAACACAAACAAGUAGUCAAAGAAGUUAUAUUGGAACUAAGAGAUGAAUUACCAAAGGAAAACUGAAAUCAAGAAACAUUUGAUGAAAUUCAGGCAAUGUCUUCAGGUGCCAGAGGACACAGAAAUGUCCCGAGAACCAUUCACAUGAUCUUAAAGAAACUUCUGCUGGUUGUCUUGUACCUUUGAAGCAGGUGUGAUUGAGAUGGAUACCUUAAUUUUUUUAAAGUAAAAAUUGUUCAUUCUCUUAUGUACUUUAGCAUACUGGUAUUCUUAUCAAAAUAUGAAACAGCAUCAAGUUUAAUAUUAAUUAUAAAACACAUGGUAUAUUUAUAUUUCUGCUCUUUAUUUUCUAAAGUUAACUCAGUUAACUCUCCAUAUAGGUAUUUGGACAUGGGCUGUAACCACUUUUUAGAACAAAUACUGUGAAGAUUGUUUUAUUACAUGACAUUUUAUGAUGUGAGAUUAACACCUUUGUGUUAGUAAACAUCCUAGAUUGUUCACUUCAAUAUAGAUUUUUAAAAUGUAUAGUUAUACUUGUGCAGGAUACUAGAAAAUGAAAAUGACUGUUCACACAUGCUUUAUUAUUCAGUAAUUUUACAAGAAAAUAUUACUGUUUGAAAGAAAAUCAUGCAUGCCUAAAACUGAUUCUGUUCCAGUUUUAUAAGUUAGUAUACUAAUUUUAAGACAUUGUGUAUAUUUCCUUCACUUAAUUUCUAUUUUCUACUGCAUUUCUACCAAUAUAAAAAACAAAGAAUUCAGUUGGUUCCUUUCUAGAGGGAAAAUUUGUUGUGAGUAUAGUACUGGGCAUCACAUGCUGCUUCCCUUUGUGGCUUUGAAUAAACCCUUAUUUUCUUGUCCAUUUUGUCUCAAAGAAUUUUAAAUGGCAUUGUCUAAACUCAGGAGUAUUGUGUGGAUUGAUUAGUAUGAGAAGUUUCUUUCAUGGUAAGUAUAGAGUUUAAGUAUAUAAAAUCAACUCUUGGUCAUAUAUGUAAAACACAAUUGAGAAGUAAAACUUGCCAUCAACUCUUGGUUAUAUACAAAAAAAUUGAGAAGUAAAACUUGCCAUACAUAUUAGUACAAGUAAUUAAAAACGGAUUAUAGCUUGAAAGGCAUUAGAUCUCACAUUAUUUACAUUCUCACUCCUUUUAGCUCCUUUGCUUUUUUGUUCUCUUGUUUGCAAAGAUUAAAAAUAAUGUUCCUGGCAUUUUAAUGGAACAUUACCAAAUGUACAUUCAUGUGUAUUGAUCAAAGACCAACUUUCAUUAGUGAAAAAAUCUAAUUUUUUCUAGACCAAUUAAAAGGAUAAAAUUCUCUUAUUUGAAUAAUAAGAGAAUUAAAGAGUUUAUUAAGCAAAAACAGUUGCUGAAAAAGCGUAGCAAAGACUGACUAGACUGGCUAGAAUUUCCUCUUCUUCCAGGACAGAUGGUUCUACGACAUUUUAAGCCUUCUUUGUAAUGGCCGAGUGACUGGGUUCUAGCUAGUGGAAUGUGAGUGGAAGCCUUUUACCUCAGAAAAGACACACAAUUCUGCAUGCCCUUUCCCCUUCUGUGGCAUGGUGCAAACAUGCAUGGUGACUUUGGAAGCCACAUUUUGACGAUGGUGGAGCCGCAAGAUGAAAAGAGCCUAGGUUCCUGAAUCACCAGGUGGAGGAAUAUUGCCAAUCCAUCAGUAAUGUAUUUUGUACUUUAUCAGAGCAAUAAAUAAAAUUCUCUACUUUUAGAGCCAUUAUACAUUUUUUUUUUUUAUUUUCAUUGCAGUUGUCGCCUGAACCUAUAUAGAAAUUGGUACCUUGAAAAGUGGAGGUUUCUGAACAAAAAAACCUUUAAGUUUUGCAGACUGUUCAAGAAGAAUGGUGCCAGCAUCUGCAUCAGGUGAUGGCUUCAAGUUAAAGAAAGAAGGUUCAUGGAAGAAGGUGAAGGGGAGCCAAGCUGGCUGUGUACAGAUAGCACAUAACCAGAAAGGAAGCAAGAGAUAUCCAGUUGUCCCAGCACAAUUUUUUGAUAAGACUAUUGUUUUCUUUCAUUGAAUUUGUUUGGCAAACUUACCAAAAAUCAAUUGACCGUAAGUAUAAGGAUGGAUUUCUGGACUCUCAAUUGUAUUUCACUGGUGUAUGUCUGUCCUUAUAUCAGUACCACACAGUCUUGAUUAUUUGCUUUUGUGGAUUCUUUAGGGGGUUACAUAUACACAAUCAUGUCAUUUGUGAAGAGAGACUGUUUUACUUUUUCCAUAUGGACUCGUUUUUAUUUAAUUUUCUUACCUAAUUCCUUUUCUAGAACCCACAGUACAAUGUUGACUAGAAGCUGAAAAAUUGGACACUGUUUUUCUGGAUUGUAAGCGAGAAACAUUGUGUCUCACCAUUAAGUAUGAUGUUAGCUAUGGUUUUCAUAAAUACCUUUUAUCAGGUUGAGGAACAUUCCUUCUCUAUUAAUUUCCCAGGGAUGCUAUAACAAAAUGCUAUAAAUUUGAUGGCAUAAACAGUACAUUAUUGUCUCAUUUCUGGGGGCCAGAAGUCUGAAAUCAAGGAAUUAGCAGGGCCACACUCCAUCUGGAGGGUCUAGGGAAGAAUUCUUCCUUGCCUCUUCCAUCCUGUGGUUGCUAUCAGAAUUCCUUGGCUUCCUUGGCUUGUGAUAACAUAAUCUAAUCUCUGCCUCCAUCUUCACAUAGCCUUAUUCUCUCUGUCUGUGUCUGCCCCUUUUCUAAGGAAACUUGUCACUGGAUUUAAGGAAUACCUGAAUAUUCCAGAUUUAUCUCAUUUCAGGAUUCUUCACUGAAUUACAUCUGCAAAGAUCUGUCUUCCAAAUAAGGUGCCAUCCACAGUUUUGAGGAUUAGGGCACAGAUUUCUUUUGGGGGUAUUCGGGGUACUGUUCAACCACUACAGUCUGCCCCCUAGCUCCCCACAAUUCACAUUUAUCUCACAUAUCUUCUUUCAUCUUCUUUCAUUCCUGAUCCUGAUUAUUUGAGUCUUCUCUCUCUUUUUGUUGGUUAGACUAAUUAAAAGUUUAUCAACUUUUAUAUCUUUUCAAAGAAGCAAUUUUUGAUUUUUUCUUUUCUAUUUAUUUAUUUAUUUAGAGA
rnacentral:lncRNA from 1 species